UGACUAGAUUUUCACUCGUUCA
rnacentral:miRNA from 1 species